UCUACCUGGAGGUUCCAGCCUCAAUAGGUGU
rnacentral:piRNA from 1 species